rnacentral:rRNA from 1 species
AUUGAACGCUGGCGGCAGGCCUAACACAUGCAAGUCGAACGGUAACAGGAAGCAGCUUGCUGCUUCGCUGACGAGUGGCGGACGGGUGAGUAAUGUCUGGGAAACUGCCUGAUGGAGGGGGAUAACUACUGGAAACGGUAGCUAAUACCGCAUAACGUCGCAAGACCAAAGAGGGGGACCUUCGGGCCUCUUGCCAUCGGAUGUGCCCAGAUGGGAUUAGCUAGUAGGGGGGGUAACGGCUCACCUAGGCGACGAUCCCUAGCUGGUCUGAGAGGAUGACCAGCCACACUGGAACCGACACACGGUCCAGACUCCUACGGGAGUCAGCAGUGGGGAAUAUUGCACAAUGGGCGCAAGCCUGAUGCAGCCAUGCCGCGUGUAUGAAGAAGGCCUUCGGGUUGUAAAGUACUUUCAGCGGGGAGGAAGGCGAUAAGGUUAAUAACCUUGUCGAUUGACGUUACCCGCAGAAGAAGCACCGGCUAACUCCGUGCCAGCCGCCGCCGUAA